rnacentral:rRNA from 1 species
AGUGAACGCUGGCGGUAGGCCUAACACAUGCAAGUCGAACGGCAGCACAGUAAGAGCUUGCUCUUACGGGUGGCGAGUGGCGGACGGGUGAGGAAUACAUCGGAAUCUACUUUUUCGUGGGGGAUAACGUAGGGAAACUUACGCUAAUACCGCAUACGACCUACGGGUGAAAGCAGGGGAUCUUCGGACCUUGCGCGAUUGGAUGAGCCGAUGUCGGAUUAGCUAGUUGGCGGGGUAAAGGCCCACCAAGGCGACGAUCCGUAGCUGGUCUGAGAGGAUGAUCAGCCACACUGGAACGGAGACACGGUCCAGACUCCUACGGGAGGCAGCAGUGGGGAAUAUUGGACAAUGGGCGCAAGCCUGAUCCAGCCAUACCGCGUGGGUGAAGAAGGCCUUCGGGUUGUGAAGCCCUUUUGUUGGGAAAGAAAAGCAGCAGGUUAAUACCCCGCUGUUCUGACGGUACCCAAAGAAUAAGCACCGGCUAACUUCGUG